GGCCUACAAGUCCCAGCAUGCAAGAGCCAGAGCUUCUGGGCCCACAGCCCUGCGGACCCUGGGAGCCGCUUGAGCAAUGAAAUGCGGGUGAGGGGGCCCGGGGUACGUGGGGCUUGCCUGGAAACGCAGCAAUUCCAGAAGUGUCCACCGAAGGAUCAAAAUCAGCGCGCGGGGCACUUUAACCCACUGGUUUCCGAACUUGUAGCACUUUGGAAUCAUCUAGGGAAACUUCAAAAAUCCCGAUGUCCCUGUGUCGAGAGAGAGAGGGAGAGAGCACAAGCAGGAGCAGGAGAGGGAGAAGCAGGCUCCUCACCGAGCCGGGAGCUCGACACGGGCCUCAAUACCAGGACCCUGGGAUCACGACCCAAGCCGAAGGGAGACACUUAACAACUGAGCCACCCAGUUCCCUAAUAGUCCAGCUGAAAAUUGAUUGGGCAGGUCCAGACGAGGAAGACAACCAGGUUUGGAGGUGCCUCAGCAGCAGUUAGAACCCAGACAGCCAAGUGAACAAGGGACCUUUGGAGAAGUUACUGAUUCUAGGAAUGAGGCACAGGAAGUAUACAAUAAAUCUGAAACAUGCUGUGGUAUCAGAAAUCAAGGAGGUGUUCUCAUGAGGGUGACAUGCCAGUGGGACAAAGAAGCCAGAUUCUAGGACAAUUUGAACAUCACCAUAGUUAGUGGGAGUGACAGAUGGUGCUCCAUUGAAUGACACAGGAAUCCAUGAGUCUACAUUGAUAUCCACAAAUGAACGGAUGAGUGAGGAGAAAGAAAAGCACUUCCUGCAGUGGAAUGUUACCUAAUAAAUGUGAGAGGAGUGAUGGAAUCGUAAAAUCAUCAUUUGGCAGUCAUUAAUUCAGGCAUGAAACAUCGAUGGAUGCUAAAUUCAGCAGAUGUAGAACAUUAUGAGCACCCUAGGAGCCUCCACUGUGACCACUUCUAGUCAACAUCUGCCCCCCUCCACCAAGGAAGCCUUCUCGUCGGUUGUUGACCCAACCAAUAUGGCAACCUCGGGCAGCUGCAAUGUUGGCAUUCCAAACGGAGGCUUCCCCUCGGUCAUGAGGAUUUUCUGGCUCCGCUCCAAAUCAAGUCACCUUCUCAGGCAGCAAAGCUGCUGGUUUCCCAGCUGUCCCAGCCCUGGUAGGACAAUUUCCGUGAAACUGGAGGGGGAGAUUGGGAAUUGCUCUGGGAUAA